GACGAACCGUGCGAACGUUAUUCGGAAUCACUGGGCUUAAAGCGCGUGUAGGCGGGACGGCACGUCUGUCACUGAAAUCCCCCGGCUUAACCGGGGAACUGGCGUAGAUACGACCGUCCUGGAGGGGCGUAGGGGGACCUGGAACUUCCGGUGGAGCGGCGAAAUGCGUUGAGAUCGGAAGGAACGCCCGUGGCGAAAGCGAGGUCCUGGACGCCUACUGACGCUGAGACGCGAAAGCCAGGGGAGCGAACGGG
rnacentral:rRNA from 1 species